rnacentral:guide_RNA from 1 species
AAAAUAUAUAUUAAUUGAGUUUUAUAGUGAGGUAUAU